AUAUAUAACCAUAAAAAUCCUUGAUAUACCUUUUUAUUAAAAAACAAAGUUUUCUAGAACUAUACUUGUUUUCAUCAAUUUCUAGAUUUGUCUCAUCUAAUUGAAAAUUUGAUCCAAUUUGGGUAAUUUCUUGUUGAUAAGCCAUAUAACACUUUAUCAAUAACGACUGUGGUAAUUAUU
rnacentral:sRNA from 1 species